UUAUUAUAGGGUUUAUCAUCAUUCAAUGAUGUGGCUGUUGACUUCACCUGGGAGGAGUGGAAUCUAUUAGACCCUGUUCAGAAGAACCUCUACCAGGAUGUGAUGUUGGAAAAUUACAACAACCUAGUGUCACUGGGUUGUCAAGCUACCAAGCCAGAAGCAAUAUUCCAGUUGGGGAAAGAAGAACAAGGAAUAGUAGAGAGAGAAUUCCCAAGUUGGUGCAGUCCAGCACGAUGGAAUUUAGUCGCCAGAAAAUGGCCAUCUCGCUAUCUGUAAGAAGCAUCUUCCAAGACUGCUGCUUCCAUGUGCACGCCUGGUUUCAAAGUCUGUAGACAUCUUGUGUUCCGCGAAGGUGCUACUGAGUCUGCACAAGAGCGUGACUACGGCAGUGAGUGAAGAGGUUACGGAAACCUGCUAGUCCUC
rnacentral:lncRNA from 1 species